rnacentral:rRNA from 1 species
GUGACCUCAAAUCAGGUAGGACUACC